rnacentral:tRNA from 1 species
GGGCGAUUAGCUCAGCUGGUUAGAGCACUAGCUCGACAAGCUAGGGGUCACUGGUUCGAAUCCAGUAUCGCCCACCA